GACGAACCGUGCGAACGUUGUUCGGAUUCACUGGGCUUAAAGGGCGCGUAGGCGGAUGGUCAAGUCGGGGGUGAAAUCUUUCAGCUUAACUGGAAAAGUGCCUCCGAUACUGAUCGUCUCGAGGGAGGUAGGGGCAUGUGGAACUUCCGGUGGAGCGGUGAAAUGCGUAGAGAUCCGGAGGAACACCGACGGCGUAAGCAGCGCCCUAAACGAGUACUGACGCUCAGGCACGAAAGCUGGGGGAGCAAACAGG
rnacentral:rRNA from 1 species